UACGUAGGUCGCAAGCGUUGUCCGGAUUUACUGGGCGUAAAGAGCGCGCAGGCGGCUGGUCAAGUCCGAUGUGAAAUCUCCCGGCUCAACUGGGAAACUGCAUCGGAAACUGAUCGGCUUGAAGAUGGGAGAGGGUAGUGGAAUUCCCGGUGUAGUGGUGAAAUGCGUAGAUAUCAGGAAGAACACCCGUGGCGAAGGCGGCUCUCUGGAACGCAACUGACGCUGAGACGCGAAAGCGUGGGGAGCAAACAGG
rnacentral:rRNA from 1 species